rnacentral:rRNA from 1 species
UACGGAGGGGACUAGCGUUGUUCGGAAUUACUGGGCGUAAAGCGCACGUAGGCGGAUUUGUAAGUCAGGGGUGAAAUCCCGGGGCUCAACCUCGGAACUGCCUUUGAUACUGCAAAUCUCGAGUCCGGAAGAGGUGAGUGGAAUUCCUAGUGUAGAGGUGAAAUUCGUAGAUAUUAGGAAGAACACCAGUGGCGAAGGCGGGCUCACUGGUCCGGUACUGACGCUGAGG